rnacentral:lncRNA from 1 species
CUCGGCCCCUUCCCCUGACUAUGAAGGACAACUGAUUCCAUCUACUACCCCAUAUAUCAGAGAUCAACACUAAGGGGCCAGUGUGCCCAGAGGGCCCUCCCAGGCUCCCUGGCCACUGCUGCCCACCCCCUCUCCCACUUCCUGAUGUCAGGGAUUAGAGAAAUGGGGUUCCACCCCGUCAUCAGGUGAAAUCCAGGCUAAUGAAACCCAGCGCCAUUCCGCCAUUCGACUUUGCCCCUCGCACCUGCAGCCUCUCCACCCUGCAGCCGCCCCACAAGGAGCGCUCCUAGCUCCCAAAGGUCAAUCCUGUGCACAUGCUCUUCUCUGGAAGGAGAGUGGGGAGGGGCUCAAGGCCACCUCAACUGUGAAAUAAACGGUUUUACACUCAA